UACGUAGGAGGCAAGCGUUGUCCGGAAUCAUUGGGCGUAAAGCGCGCGUAGGCGGCUCGGUAAGUCCGUUGUGAAAGUCAAAGGCUCAACCUUUGAAUGCCGAUGGAUACUGUCGAGCUAGAGUCCGGAAGAGGCGAGUGGAAUUCCUGGUGUAGCGGUGGAAUGCGCAGAUAUCAGGAGGAACACCAAUAGCGAAGGCAGCUCGCUGGGACGGUACUGACGCUAAGGCGCGAGAGCGUGGGGAGCGAACCGG
rnacentral:rRNA from 1 species